rnacentral:rRNA from 1 species
ACUCCAUGAAGUCGGAAUCGCUAGUAAUCGUAGAUCAGAAUGCUACGGUGAAUACGUUCCCGGGCCUUGUACACACCGCCCGUCACACCAUGGGAGUGGGUUGCAAAAGAAGUAGGUAGCUUAACCUUCGGGAGGGCGCUUACCACUUUGUGAUUCAUGACUGGGGUGAAGUCGUAACAAGGUAACCGUAGGGGAACCUGCGGUUGGAUCACCUCCUUACCU